CCCUUAGAUGUUCUGGGCCGCACGCGUGCUACACUGAGUGGAUCAGCGGGUCAGGUUGCGCGAAAGCGUUUCCUAAUCUUUAAAUCCGCUCGUGAUGGGGAUUGACGGUUGCAAUUUUCUGUCAUGAACGAGGAAUACCUUGUAAGCGCGGGUCAUCAUCCCGCGCUGAAUACGUCCCUGCCCUUUGUACACACCGCCCGUCGCUACUACCGAUUGAACGGUUUAGUGAGGGCCUCGGAUUGGUCUCGGCCCGCUCUUUACCGGGCGGCGCCGUUGGUCGAGAAGACGCUCGAACUUGAUCGUUUAGAGGAAGUAAAAGGCGUAACA
rnacentral:rRNA from 1 species